AAGCAGCCGUCCGGCUCCUCCUGAACCUGCGAAUGGAUUUCUCAACCUGCAGCCAUCCUAGGUGUAAAUUAGAUGGGAGAGGGGGCUUUGCACGGAUCCUUUUCCCUGGCAGCCAGAGUAGCUGUCUUUCUGCAGACAGCCCAGUGGCUCUUUAGCUUUGCAUUUUUCUUCCAUAGCGGGCACAUAUAUACAUAUAUAUAUUUUUUUUUGAACGUCCACCAAAUCUGUUACUAAUUAUUGGCGCUGCCGAGCCGGUGCCGUUGUUCGCUUUCGGCAGCGCAGCCGUUCCGCCGCACGAGGGGCGAAGACCCCCAAAUUCAGCGCGCUCCUGAUUUACUGUGCAGCUUGGGCAAAGUGCAUUUGUUGCCUUGGAAACAAAUAGCAGCAGUGAACAACUAAAUGAAAUUUAUGGAAUCAACUUCAAUAAAUCUUGAUGAUAAAUGUGCAAAAACAUACACAAUUUGAUGAAGAUCUACAGUAUGCAGAUGUGAGAGAUGAUAUCUCCAUCGUCAUCAAAUACAACUCCUUUCAUUCUCCUCUUCCAUUCACCUACCCAAAGACCAAAUCUGGAAAUAGUAACCAAAAGAGAAGCCCACGUCGUACACAAAGCAGAGAAAGGUUGAAAGAAUUUCAGGGAGGGUUAAUAAAGUCCAGCGAGGGCAGAGGACUUUGUUGUUCGCACAAGCGCAGCAUGUACGGCAUUCAUUUGUACUGUGGGUAAAUCUGAAUUCUUUUCUACUAUUACUCUACUGAAUGU
rnacentral:lncRNA from 1 species